AACCCAUGAUGCCAUCAUUUCCUCAAUAAUUCCUUGAAUCUCUCCCAAGCCUCGUAUAAGGAUUCCAUAUCUAACUACAUGAAGUUGGUGAUGUCAUUACAAGGUC